GCCGCGGUAGCUCAGGUAGUAGUAGCGUCUCUCUGAAAAAGAGAAGGUCGUCAGUGCAAGUCUGACCCGCGGCA
rnacentral:tRNA from 1 species